GCCUGCAUGAUAUAGUGGUUUGAGUGUUAGACUGUGACUCUGGAGACCAGGGUUCAAUUCCCUGCUCUGUCA